UGGAGUCGUCCUUGAAAUACCACCCUUUAACGUUUGAUGUUCUAACGAAGAUUACGAAACGUGGUCUCGGACAGUGUCUGGUGGGUAGUUUGACUGGGGCGGUCUCCUCCCAAAGAGUAACGGAGGAGCACGAAGGUUUGCUAAUGACGGUCGGACAUCGUCAGGUUAGUGCAAUGGUAUAAGCAAGCUUAACUGCGAGACAGACAAGUCGAGCAGGUACGAAAGUAGGUCAUAGUGAUCCGGUGGUUCUGAAUGGAAGGGCCAUCGCUCAACGGAUAAAAGGUACUCCGGGGAUAACAGGCUGAUACCGCCCAAGAGUUCAUAUCGACGGCGGUGUUUGGCACCUCGAUGUCGGCUCAUCACAUCCUGGGGCUGAAGUAGGUCCCAAGGGUAUGGCUGUUCGCCAUUUAAAGUGGUACGCGAGCUGGGUUUAGAACGUCGUGAGACAGUUCGGUCCCUAUCUGCCGUGGGCGUUGGAGAAUUGAUUGGGGCUGCUCCUAGUACGAGAGGACCGGAGUGGACGCACCACUGGUGUUCCGGUUGUGUCGCCAGACGCAUUGCCGGGUAGCUAAGUGCGGAAGAGAUAAGUGCUGAAAGCAUCUAAGCACGAAACUUGCC
rnacentral:rRNA from 1 species